rnacentral:misc_RNA from 1 species
AAGUCGUAACAAGGUAACCGUAGGUGAACCUGCGGUUGGAUCAUUAAUGAAUUUAACCGAUUUUCGGGUUUUCGCCCUCGUUUGCAUAGCAUUCGCUGGCGUUGCCCAAAAUCAUCCACACCCUUGUGAACCAUUGACCGUAUUUUGGCGAUGGCGGUUUCGUUGAUUUCAAGAGCGCUCAUUACUCUUGAUUCAACGUUUCUCCGCUUCUUGUUUGCAGCAGAGUGUUGAAUUCGGGAUCACCGAUUCAGCUUCGCCGUCGCCAGCGUAAACCACCCUUGUGUUAUUUUUUUUGUCUUAUGUCUUCGAAUGAAUCGAUGUAAAUCGAGAAAUUCAAAUAAAGAAACAACUUCAGACAACGGAUCUCUUGGCUCUC